rnacentral:lncRNA from 1 species
AACAAUUCGUACAACUUCUUCCAAUUAAUCUAUAAUUACAUAACAUCGAUCUCAUGUUAAUUUCCUUGUUUUAGAUAAAUCAUAGCUAAUUUUGAAUACCCAACCCUUGAAUUUCAUGUUUGACUCUUAACUUGUCAAUUUAUACUUACUCACGCUACUGGCAUUUGAGAAUACUUCGAAACUUAUUAAAUACAACACAUUCAUAUGAUAUAGACAGUUAAUUCAUGGAAAAGUCUCAUGAAUUUCUCCAAAUUUUCUCAGCUUUAUCUUUCAAAUUCUUAACCUAAUUCAAAAAUUAUAUCUAUUCAGGCUUAUCAGAAUUAUGUAUAUAAAAUUUCAUUGUCGUAAAAGAGGAAUAAAUAAAUGUAACUACCUGGAGUGUAUUGCUAAAAUCCAAGGAGUUAUAUACCAAAGAUUAGAUGAAUCACGAUCCGGUGCUAUAGAAACUUCUGAGACUCUCUUUCUUCUAUUUUUCUCGUUCGAUGCUUUCUUCCUUUCCUUCUAGGGAUAUUUUUUUUCUUUUUUUGAAACUCGUUGCUUCUGUCUGCGUUUCUCCUUCCCCUAAUCCCUUUCAAUUUGCAAGAUGAUGUUUGC